UCCGGUUGAUCCCGCCGGAGGUUACUGCUAUCGAGGUUCGACUAAGCCAUGCGAGUCGAAUGUAGCAAUACAUGGCGUACUGCUCAGUAACACGUGGAUAACCUACCCUUGAGAUGGGGAUAAACCCGGGAAACUGGGUAUAAUACCCAAUAGAUCUCGACUGCUGGAAUGCAUCGAGCUCCAAAGCUUUGGCGCUCAAGGAUGGAUCUGCGGCCUAUCAGGUAGUAGUGGGUGUAGCGUACCUACUAGCCUACGACGGGUACGGGUUGUGAGAGCAAGAGCCCGGAGAUGGAUUCUGAGACACGAAUCCAGGCCCUACGGGGUGCAGCAGGCGCGAAAACUUUACAAUGCUGGAAACAGCGAUAAGGGGACCUCGAGUGCCAGGUUACAAAUCUGGCUGUCGUGAUGCCUAAAAAGCAUUGCAUAGCGAGGGCCGGGCAAGACCGGUGCCAGCCGCCGCGGUAACACCGGCGGCUCGAGUGGUAACCGUUAUUAUUGGGUCUAAAGGGUCUGUAGCCGGCCGGAUAAGUCUCUUGGGAAAUCUGGCAGCUUAACUGUCAGGCUUUCAGGAGAUACUGUCUGGCUCGAGGCCGGGAGAGGUGAGAGGUACUUCAGGGGUAGGGGUGAAAUCUUGUAAUCCUUGAAGGACCACCAGUGGCGAAGGCGUCUCACCAGAACGGACCUGACGGCAAGGGACGAAAGCUAGGGGCACGAACCGGAUUAGAUACCCGGGUAGUCCUAGCCGUAAACGAUACUCGCUAGGUGUCGGCAACGGUGCGACCGUUGUCGGUGCCGUAGGGAAGCCGUGAAGCGAGCCACCUGGGAAGUACGGCCGCAAGGCUGAACUUAAAGGAAUUGGCGGGGGAGCACACAACGGGUGGAGCUUGCGGUUUAAUUGGAUUCAACGCCGGAAA
rnacentral:rRNA from 1 species